GGCUCAGGAUGAACGCUGGCGGCGUGCUUAACACAUGCAAGUCGAACGAAGCACUUAUGACAGAUUCUUCGGAUGAUGGAUAAGUGACUGAGUGGCGGACGGGUGAGUAACGCGUGGGUAACCUGCCUCAUACAGGGGGAUAACAGUUAGAAAUGACUGCUAAUACCGCAUAAGCGCACAAUACCGCAUGGUAUGGUGUGAAAAACUCCGGUGGUAUGAGAUGGACCCGCGUCUGAUUAGCUAGUUGGUGGGGUAAACGGCCUACCAAGGCGACGAUCAGUAGCCGACCUGAGAGGGUGAUCGGCCACAUUGGAACUGAGACACGGUCCAAACUCCUACGGGAGGCAGCAGUGGGGAAUAUUGCACAAUGGGCGAAAGCCUGAUGCAGCAACGCCGCGUGAAGGAAGAAGGUCUUCGGAUCGUAAACUUCUGUCCUUAGGGAAGAUAAUGACGGUACCUUUGGAGGAAGCCCCGGCUAACUACGUG
rnacentral:rRNA from 1 species